UCUGUGCAUCAACUCAUGUCAUAUAUAAAUAAGAACUGCAACAGUACAAUCAUGAGUGUCAAUGUUUUUUUGUUUUUUCUCACAGUGGGUACAGCAAUGUGUCAAGAGGUGGAGCUCUAAGAUUAGUUUGACUUGGCUUAUUUUCUAAUGUGGAACACUGUCACUCUGUCAGAGCAUCAACCAACAUGUGCCUUCCUGUCUUUCUCAUUUUGGUUCUUCAUACAGGUAACAUCCUGACAAACAUGAUAAUGUCGCAUGACUCACAAAAACAAGUUUUAGAAGGUAAAAAUGUAACACUCACAUGUAACUACAGUGGAGCACCUGAUAAUCUCCACUGGUACCGUCAAUAUCCCAGAUCUACACCAAAGUUCCUCCUCUACAUCUAUGAAAGUGGGCUGAUGAGUGACAACAUACCACAGCGCUUAACACCAAGAAUUAAUAAAAACACAAAACGAGUAGAUCUGGAGAUCUCUUCUGCUGCAGUGACAGACUCUGCUGUGUACUACUGCGCUCUGAGGCCCACAGUCACAGGAAACAAAGCUACGCUUCUACACUGGUAUCGCCAGUAUCCUGGAUCCAAACCUGAAUUUGUGCUCCUUGUCAUGGAGGCAUCCACUAAACAUGUAACAUAUGCAGAUCCCCGUAUCCCUGGAAUGGAUGGGAAAAUGAGCAUGAAAGAUAAGCAAGUGGAUCUGGAGAUCUCCUCUGCUGAAGUAUCAGACUCUGCUCUGUAUUACUGUGCCCUGCAGCCCACAGUGACAGGAAACACAUCAACACUCUGA